rnacentral:rRNA from 1 species
UUGUCUCAAAGAUUAAGCCAUGCAUGUCUCAGUACAAGCCAAAUUAAGGUGAAACCGCGAAAGGCUCAUUAAAUCAGUUAUGGUUCCUUAGAUCGUACCCACAUUUACUUGGAUAACUGUGGUAAUUCUAGAGCUAAUACAUGCAAAUAGAGGUCCGACCGGAGACGGAAGGAGCGCUUUUAUUAGAUCAAAACCAAUCGGUGGCGGGUUCGCGCCCGUCAUCGUACAACUUGGUGACUCUGAAUAACUUUUCGCUGAUCGCAUGGUCUCGCACCGGCGACGCAUCUUUCAAAUGUCUGCCUUAUCAACUGUCGAUGGUAGGUUCUGCGCCUACCAUGGUUGUAACGGGUAACGGGGAAUCAGGGUUCGAUUCCGGAGAGGGAGCCUGAGAAACGGCUACCACAUCCAAGGAAGGCAGCAGGCGCGCAAAUUACCCACUCCCGGCACGGGGAGGUAGUGACGAAAAAUAACGAUACGGGACUCUUCCGAGGCCCCGUAAUCGGAAUGAGUACACUCUAAACCCUUUAACGAGGAUCAAUUGGAGGGCAAGUCUGGUGCCAGCAGCCGCGGUAAUUCCAGCUCCAAUAGCGUAUAUUAAAGUU